CCAAUAGCGUAUAUUAAAGUUGUUGCAGUUAAAAAGCUCGUAGUUGAAUUUCGGGGUUCUACCGUUGGUCGGGCUUUGUCUGUACUGGCGUGUAGAAUUUCUACCUUCUGGGGAACUAUCAUGUUAUUAAUUUAACGUGGUGGGAAACCAGGACCUUUACCUUGAAAAAAUUAGAGUGUUCAAAGCAGGCUUAUGUCUGAAUACAUUAGCAUGGAAUAAUAGAAUAGGACGGUGGUCCUGUUUUGUUGGUUUCUGAAUCACCGUAAUGAUUAAUAGGGAUAGUUGGGGGUAUUAGUAUUCAAUUGUCAGAGGUGAAAUUCUUGGAUUUAUUGAAGACUAACUUCUGCGAAAGCAUUUGCCAAGGAUGUUUUCAUUAAUCAAGAACGAAAGUUAGGGGAUCGAAGACGAUCAGAUACCGUCGUAGUCUUAACCAUAAACUAUGCCGACUAGGGAUCGGACGAUGUUAACUUUUCUUGACUCGUUCGGCGCCUUACG
rnacentral:rRNA from 1 species